rnacentral:rRNA from 1 species
UACGUAGGGGCCUAGCGUUGUCCGGAAUUAUUGGGCGUAAAGAGCUCGUAGGCGGUUCGGCAAGUCGGAUGUGAAAACUGGAGGCUCAACCUCCAGCCUGCAGUGGGUACGGGCAGACUAGAGUGCGGUAGGGGAGAUUGGAAUUCCUGGUGUAGCGGUGGAAUGCGCAGAUAUCAGGAGGAACACCGGUGGCGAAGGCGGCUUGCUGGGCCUUACCUGACGCUGAGGAGCGAAAGCGUGGGGAGCGAACAGG